AAAUAUAGUAAAAGACUGAGGUUGGCCCUCUUUAAUCUAUAUUUACUGAUCAUCUGAGUUCCAAAGGCGAUAUAUUGAAUUCCUUAAGUAAGGGUUAAAUUGUUGAUAUUGGAAGACAUUCGAAAGCGGAAGCAUUUAUCGAUUUGGAUCUGACGCUAGGUACUAAAGUAUGGGUAUGAAGAGGAUUAGAGACCUUGUAGUCCAUACCUUAAACUAUGAGUGUUCAACGUCCUUUUUGCAUUGGAGAAGUUUAGUCCAAAUGGAUUGGAACUUAUUCAUGGAGCAUAAGGGGGUUUAAAGCUAACGCGUGAAACACCGCCUGGGGAAUGUGGCCGCAAGGUUAAACUCAAAGGAAUUGAGGAGGCUUGUACAAGG
rnacentral:rRNA from 1 species